UGUUCUGGAGAAAGACACAGAGGAAUGAAGUGGUUUCUAUGGCCACAUCACUUGGUGGCAGAACAAACUAAAUUAAGAACAGGUGGUGUGAAGAGCCUUCAAGGGCCAGAGAACAGUCAGUAAAGAGAAUACGGUUGGUAAAAUAUUGAAGAGCAUCUGAAAGGGCAGUUUGGCUGGGACAGAGAGUAAGAGACGAGGUAGCACAGUUUAAGCUGGAGCCAAGCUAUCCAGAGAACUUCUUUGAAUCUCUACCCUGGGCAUGAUGAACUCCAAUACGGAGUAAAUGUGCCUUUGCUGCCUGCCAGCUGCCAGCUUCCACUUCCUCCCCACAAGACAAAUGCAUAUGAAGACGGUAUGCGCUCGUCUGGCCUCAUUUAGGUUUUUGUUAGUCAUCCCUGCUGUCGCUGGCCUGUGACCUUGGAAGGACUAUUUGAGCAGCUUGAAUGGAGUGAUCAGCAGAAGAAAGAAGAAAUUUGAACACACAAAGGACAAGUGCAGAGACAGAGGGAUGACCAUGUGAGGACACGGCAAAGAAGCCAACAUAACACAGAGACUGAGACUCUGAGGAAUGUGAUAUGGAGAUGGAAAAAUGGGGUAAGCCUUGGGCUGCAUGGUAGCAAUUUCUCUAGCAGAUCCUAGCAGAAGAAUCCAUCUCACCCUUCUGAGAUCUAUGAAUCCAACUCCCAUCAGGCUAUCUCUGAGGACCUCCAUUUGAGAUUAUUGCACUAGAAUCAAAUGUGUGCAACAAGUUAGCUGGUUAGAAAGCCUGGUUAUGGUUUUAAUGACUGCUAUGCGGAGGUGCUGCCUUGUUAGUCUUUAUAGCAACACCAUGAGGUGAGCUGAUUUAAUACUACA
rnacentral:lncRNA from 1 species